rnacentral:lncRNA from 1 species
GCUGGUAAACUCUCUCCGGACUCCUACGGGAGCCAGACUCCGUCCCUGACUUUAAUUGCAGGUAGACUUCGCCCAGGCUCCCACGGGAGCCGGACCUCGUCCCCAACUCCGGCUGCAGGUAGACUCCAUCCGGACUCCUACGGGAGCUAGACUUCACCCCCGACGCCAACUGCAGGUCGACUCUGCCCGGACUCCUACGGGAGCCGGGCUUUAUCCUCGACUUCGACUGCUGGUAAACUCUCUCCGGACUCCUAUGGGAGCCGGACUCCGUCGCUGACUUUAAUUGCAGGUGGACUUCGCCCAGGCUCCCACGGGAGCCGGACCUCAUCCCCAACUCCGACUGCAGGUAGACUCCAUCCGAACUCCUACGGGAGCCGGACUUCGCCCCUGACGCCAACUGCAGGUGGACUCCGCCCGGACUCCUAUGGGAGCCGGCUUCAUCCUCGACUUCGACUGCUGGUAAACUCUCUCCAGACUCCUACGGGAGCUGGACUCCGUCCCUGACAUUAAUUGUAGGUAGACUUCACCCGGACUCCUGCGGGAGCCGGACUCCGUCCCCGACCUCAAUUGCAGGCGGACUUCGCCCGGACUCCUACGGGAGCCAGAUCUCGUCUCCGGCUCCAGCUGCGGGAAGACUCCGUCCGGACUCCCACGGGAGCCGUACCUCGCCCCCAACUUUGACUGAAGGAAGACUCCAUCCGGACUCCUACGAGAGCCAGACUCCGAGCUCCUCUCAGACGGGUGGC